rnacentral:rRNA from 1 species
CCUACGGGUGGCAGCAGUGAGGAAUAUUGGUCAAUGGACGGAAGUCUGAACCAGCCAUGCCGCGUGCAGGAAGACGGCUCUCUGAGUUGUAAACUGCUUUUGUACAAGGGUAAACCUGAAUACGUGUAUUCAGCUGAAAGUACUUUACGAAUAAGGAUCGGCUAACUCCGUGCCAGCAGCCGCGGUAAUACGGAGGAUCCAAGCGUUAUCCGGAUUUAUUGGGGUUAAAGGGUGCGUAGGCGGAUUGAUAAGUUAGAGGUGAAAUGUCCGGGCUUAACUCGGGAACUGCCUCUGAUACUGGUGAUCUAGAGAGUAGAUGCGGUAGGCGGAAUGUAUGGUGUAGCGGUGAAAUGCGUAGAGAUCAUGCAGAACACCGAUUGCGAAGGCAGCUUAC